rnacentral:rRNA from 1 species
UGGGGAAUUUUGGACAAUGGGCGAAAGCCUGAUCCAGCAAUGCCGCGUGUGUGAAGAAGGCCUUCGGGUUGUAAAGCACUUUUGUCCGGAAAGAAAUCCUUGGCUCUAAUACAGUCGGGGGAUGACGGUACCGGAAGAAUAAGCACCGGCUAACUACGUGCCAGCAGCCGCGGUAAUACGUAGGGUGCAAGCGUUAAUCGGAAUUACUGGGCGUAAAGCGUGCGCAGGCGGUUUGCUAAGACCGAUGUGAAAUCCCCGGGCUCAACCUGGGAACUGCAUUGGUGACUGGCAGGCUAGAGUAUGGCAGAGGGGGGUAGAAUUCCACGUGUAGCAGUGAAAUGCGUAGAGAUGUGGAGGAAUACCGAUGGCGAAGGCAGCCCCCUGGGCCAAUACUGACGCUCAUGCACGAAAGCGUGGGGAGCAAACAGGAUUAGAUACCCUGGUAGUCCACGCCCUAAAACGAUGUCAGNGUUGUUGGGGAUUCAUUUCCUUAGUAACGUAGCUAACGCGUGAAGUUGACCGCCUGGGGAGUACGGUCGCAAGAUUAAAACUCAAAGGAAUUGACGGGGUCAUAGCUGUUUCCU